GGGGGUGAACUGGAUUCGACGGGGGUCAAAGAGGCUGCAGAGGCAUGCCGAGUGCUCCGCGACUCGUAAAAUCGUGGAAAUAACUUAACUGCUGACACUCAGUUAGCACUGGCCGCUUAGGCGGUCACGUCUCGCCGAUCCUGCCUGCGGGGUUGGAUUGAGGCGCCGAUCAGCAGGAUAGGCGAGGAUCCAGGCUCUGAGAUCCGAGCCGAAACCCUACAGGGCUAGCGGCGUAUCGACCUUGCCGAUUCGAUCGCUGCGUCCGCGAAACUCAACGAAUACGGAUACGCAUGUAGGCUUUGCACGCUGAAGGCUCUCGGACGCGGGUUCGAUUCCCGCCACCUCCACCA
rnacentral:tmRNA from 1 species